GGGUUGUGAGGUUAAGCGACUAAGCGUACACGGUGGAUGCCCUGGCAGUCAGAGGCGAUGAAGGACGUGCUAAUCUGCGAUAAGCGCCGGUAAGGUGAUAUGAACCGUUAUAACCGGCGAUUUCCGAAUGGGGAAACCCAGUGUGACUCGUCACACUAUCAUUAACUGAAUCCAUAGGUUAAUGAGGCGAACCGGGGGAACUGAAACAUCUAAGUACCCCGAGGAAAAGAAAUCAACCGAGAUUCCCCCAGUAGCGGCGAGCGAACGGGGAGGAGCCCAGAGCCUGAAUCAGCAUGUGUGUUAGUGGAAGCGUCUGGAAAGGCGCGCGAUACAGGGUGACAGCCCCGUACACAAAAGCGCAUGUGCUGUGAGCUCGAUGAGUAGGGCGGGACACGUGGUAUCCUGUCUGAAUAUGGGGGGACCAUCCUCCAAGGCUAAAUACUCCUGACUGACCGAUAGUGAACCAGUACCGUGAGGGAAAGGCGAAAAGAACCCCGGCGAGGGGAGUGAAAAAGAACCUGAAACCGUGUACGUACAAGCAGUGGGAGCACA
rnacentral:rRNA from 1 species